rnacentral:lncRNA from 1 species
GUGUAUUCUCUCACUGGAACCUCCUGCGCAGUAUUGCAAGAAGGUAUAAUUUUUGAUGUUAGAUAGGAUAAAUCUACUU